GGGGUUAUAGCUCAGUUGGGAGAGCGCUUCAUGCUUUACUCCCAUAUAUUUAACAAUCUAAUAUUGGGUUAUAGUCAGUUGGGGAGCGCUUGCAUGGCAUGCAAGAGGUCAACGGUUCGAUCCCGUUUAGCUCCACCA
rnacentral:tRNA from 1 species